rnacentral:rRNA from 1 species
UGGGGAAUAUUGGACAAUGGGCGAAAGCCUGAUCCAGCCAUGCCGCGUGUGCGAAGAAGGUCUUCGGAUUGUAAAGCACUUUAAGUUGGGAGGAAGGGCUGUCGGCUAAUACCCUGCAGUUUUGACGUUACCAACAGAAUAAGCACCGGCUAACUUCGUGCCAGCAGCCGCGGUAAUACGAAGGGUGCAAGCGUUAAUCGGAAUUACUGGGCGUAAAGCGCGCGUAGGUGGUUCAGCAAGUUGGAUGUGAAAGCCCCGGGCUCAACCUGGGAACUGCAUCCAAAACUACUGAGCUAGAGUACGGCAGAGGGUGGUGGAAUUUCCUGUGUAGCGGUGAAAUGCGUAGAUAUAGGAAGGAACACCAGUGGCGAAGGCGACCACCUGGACUGAUACUGACACUGAGGGGCGAAAGCGUGGGGAGCAAACAG